rnacentral:rRNA from 1 species
UGGGGGAUAUUGCACAAUGGGGGGAACCCGUGAUGCAGCGACGCCGCGUGGGUGAAGGAGUAUUUCGGUAUGUAAAGCCCUAUCGGCAGGGAAGAAGAAAGACGGUACCUGACUAAGAAGCCCCGGCUAACUACGUGCC